rnacentral:tRNA from 1 species
GCCUGAGUGGCUCAUUGGUUGAGCGUUUGACUUAGGCUCAGGCCAUGAUCUCAUGGUUCAUGGGUUUGAGCCCCACAUUGGGCU